rnacentral:lncRNA from 1 species
AUGGGGCGAGUGGGGGCAGCCUGUGAGAUCCACCGGAGAGGCCUCGGUGGGGCUGAGAGAGGAUCAGAGGCACUCCAGCUGGCUAAACAACAGCCCUACCCCCAGAGCUGGGCCUUUGCACACACUGCCACCCCCAUCCCUGCUCCUCCUGCUCUACUGUGGCAGCCUCUCCCCAGAAUGCAACCCCAGGGCCCUGCCCUCAGAAGGCCUCCUGGACUGCCAAGCCCUCAUGUGGUCCUGCUCUCCGUCCCUGCAACCUCCAUCCCUGCAGCCUCCGUCCCUGCAGCCUGCACCCUAAGCCCAGCUCUACAAGGAUCUGGAGGACAGGACACCACAGGUGACACAACAGAGCCUCCGAUGGCCCCACCCAGGCAGAGGCCUCAGGUCCUGUGGAAGGACAAGUUUGUGGCAGCAGCCGCUCCAGACAGCCUGCAACCGCUGCAGCAGGGAGGUGCCACCAGGGCUACACAUUCCAUGGAGCUGGCAGGAGCCCUGCCCCUUCCGAGCUGCAAGCCUGCAACUUCUGCAGCCACCCAAGUUGUAACUGCAGAUCUGAGCCUUCCUGUGGUCUUCCAGGGCAAGCAGGUAGGAGCCCUGCUCUCCUGGGUGCCACGGCAGCCACCCAAACUGUGGCUGCAGCUUCAGGCAUCCCUCCACUCUUGGGGGCCUGGGACCCCCUGCCCGCACUGCCUGGCUUCUCCCUGCUGUUGGCUGUCAACACCCACUCUGAUCUCGGAGCAAAGUUGGGCUGAGCAGGGGCCAUGAAUGGCAGUGGGAGGCAGAUUCCUGGGCAGAAGCCGGCGGGUACCUGAUAAGACCCCACUUUCAGACCAGGGAGGGCCUGAAGGCUGAAGGCCGGGCUGCCAGAUCCACAGACCAGAGUGGAGACUUGUGGUACCUUUUCUGGGUGCCCAUGCACCAAUCGGCAUGCAUUUCCUCCUCUCUGACACCCCAGGCUCAACCAGAGCAAGGCAGAGGAUGGAGAAGCAACCGGAGACUGGAUGACCAGCUGCAGAGGAGCUACCCUCUCUGCUGAGAGCUGGGAAGUCAACAGGCACCUGCCUGCAGAGUGGAGCCACCCACCCAGGGCCUCCGGGGCCUCCUCUCUACAGAGAGCUGAACACUGGGGGAGAUGACCUGCCUACAGAGGGUCCCACUGUGGGUCUCCUCCGAGCUGCCCUAAGAUUCAAUAAAGCUUUGCUUUGUCUUGCUCA